AAAAUGUUUUACAUAAUUUUUGAGAGCAGGAUCUAACCGUAAAAAGCUCAAUGUUGUGAGGUAUCCAAAGAAACAUAUUUUUUGUAUUUUUAAUAUUUGUCAUCCUGACUAAAACAUUGGGAGGGUAAAAAAUAUGUUAGAUGAAAAUCCUAUUUAAGGAUUGGCUUUACAUAGAUUUUUAAUGCAGCAAAUUCUUUAGCACUAAUAACAAUAAAUUGUUUAAACAUUCUAUUUCUCAGUAUAUUUACUGACACCUAGGAGACUUUUAAAUCAUGGGAGCGUUUGUUGCAUGUAGCCAUAAAUGGUAGCACCUGUGUGGUUGCUAAACAAUCUAAUUUGAUUAUUUGAGGAUUUAAAUUAGCUGGGGUAUAAGUAAAUAUGUAAAUAUAAAGGGAUAUGGGUAGCUGGUAUUGCUCAACUGGUUCUUCUUGUCACCACUUAUAAAGCUAUACAAUGAAGCUCUCACACACCUACAGUCAUUUGUUGUUCAGGUUUCUUUUCUAAUCUGUUCUUCUUCUUUAUAGCUACCUGCUGAUUCAGGAAAGAAGAGAUUCCAUAAUUCUUUGUGAUUAAUUUCACUUUAAAAAUGAACAAAAGAGAGUAGAACAACAGUGGCUCACUGCUAGAGUUGUCUGGAGAAAAAUCGCAAAAAGCAUGGAUUGUGUCAAUUCUUGCUGGUGCAGCUGCAUACACUAAUGAAUUGGCUUGCUGUUUGCAUACAGUUAACACCAAACACCACCAGGUGUCCUCUGUUACUGUUUCAAGUCUGGAUUACCUCCUGGAGGUCAUGCAUGCAGCUUCUGCCAGGUAACUGA
rnacentral:lncRNA from 1 species